AUUGAACGCUGGCGGCAGGCCUAACACAUGCAAGUCGAACGAGUGGCGGACGGGUGAGUAAUGUCUGGGAAACUGACUGAUGGAGGGGGAUAACUCCUGGAAACGGUAGCUAAUACCGCAUACCAUCAGAUGUGCCCAGGUGGGGUUAGCUAGUUGGUGGGGUAACGGCGCACCAAGGCGACGAUCCCUAGCUGGUCUGAGAGGUUGACCAGCCACACUGGAACUAGGACGCGGUCCAGACUCCUACGGGAGGCAGCAGGGGGGAAUAUUGCACAAUGGGCGAACGCCUGAUGCAGCCAUGCCGCGUGUAUGAAGAAGGCCUUCGGGUUGUAAAGUACUUUCAGCGGGGAGGCGUUACCCGCAGAAGAAGCACCGGCUAACUCCGUGCCAGCAGCCGCGUAAUUC
rnacentral:rRNA from 1 species